rnacentral:lncRNA from 7 species
AGGCGGCCGCCCGGGCCUCUCCUCUUCUGUUUCCCCGCCGCCUGAGGCGGAGCUUUGAGAUCGCCGCCGUUCCAUAGCGCCGGCGUUCGAACAGGGGAAACAUUUGUUCAGCUGUCAAUCAAAAUUAAAUUUCAAUUUCUACAUGGUUUAAGAAGUGACUUCUCCUAGUUAACAAUUACCUGCAGCUAUACAAUUAUUGGACCACUCCUGUCUCUAUCAGUUGAAAUGAGCAACCAAUCUUGUUAUCUAAUCUGCCCUAAGAGCUAAUCAACAGGAAAAGCAAUGCCUUGCUCUUCUCACAUGAGGGACUCUUCUCACAGGGGACUUUUCCCUGGUUCAGGUUCUCAUCAACUUGGUACCUUCAGCAUCAAACAUCUGCAGUCUCCACACAGUACCUUAAGUCCCAGAAAGAAACAACACCAAUGCAAAAUCAUCUGGACAAAAUGAAGACUGUUUCUCAUAAAACAGUAGCAAAUCCUGUUCUCACACUUGUAUUACAGAUGUAAAGUUGAUGUCAUUUAAAGAACACAUAACCCAAAGCAUCCUCUCUUGCUUCUGCACUGGAGCAUCCACAGCAGGACAGAAAGCUGGGAUCUCUCUCUAUAAAGCAGUAAGAAUUUUUCUCCACUCCUUCCACUUCAGUUAAAAAAGCCACAGCAAAGGACGUAGAGUAGGUGAUAGUUCACUUGGGAUUAUCUACUUUAGAGCUGUGGUAAUUGGCAAUGAAAGCAAUCUGUGAGUUCAGACACUUUCAGAGAGACCUCUGUACAUUUCAGUUUUGUCCUUUGUCCUCCCCAGUACCAGCAUACUUAAAAUGUCUCCCAGAGAAACACUGGUAGUCAUCCUGGCUCCCAGUGCAUUUAUAAUAUAAAAUGCAGAGUUGUAUUCUGGUCUGCUGGAUGACAGCCUUGAGUAUUUGGAUUGCCUACCAAGUGUUGAUGAAAAGCCACACAGAUUCUUAAUUCAGAAAGUCCAAUUUUUCCUGUGUUCCUGUGUUCAUUUUCUUUAUCAGCAGGGGAUGACUUACACUUUCAAAACUGAUUAACAUUUUAAAACUGUGGGAGCAGUUUGUGUGGCAUUUUCAAAUGAUGUUAACCCUUUAGUUCUUUGCUAGAGCUCCUUUCCCCCUCACACCUUAUUAUUACUUUUAUUUUCCUCUGAAAUGCAGUUUUCCUUAGCAUGUCAGCACCUACAGAAAGUAAACAUUUUGCACUAUGCAUAAGACACUGGAGAUGUCAGUUAUGCUAACUAAAUUAAGGCGUUACAAAUGGAUGGAGAUUUACUAGCUCUCACCUUGUUUUCUUACUUAUUCGUGUGGUGAAAGUAGAAUGCCUUUCCCAACGGCUUUGAGAAACCUAAACAUUUUCUUAAUCCUUUCCCAUGUCCUGCUUGCCCUCAAAAUUAUGUCUUUGAUAUGUCUAACAACAGCAUGACUUACCCUUUUCAGUACUUUCUCCCCUCCAUCUAAUUUUUUUCUGUUAUGCCCCGCUUCGCAUGCAUAAGCACACUGAUGUAUGGGCAGAGGAGCAACUCUCCAGUGCCCCAGAUUCAUCUUUUAACUGUGCUCAGCUUUGCUUUCAGGCAGACAAAGCGCACUCUAAAGCACAGCUGAGGAAUACUGUUCACUUAAAAAUAAAACAGUAACUGAAGGCAUUUUUCCCUACUCAUAGUCUGACAUGUAGCGGCAAUACACAUAGGAUCAUUUCCAGCUGAGGAAAACUGUUAAGCAGUGUCUGCAGACAAGUCUUUAGUCCACUCAGAAGUGCUGCCAAUUGUGAAUUGAAAAGAUCAGUGCUUCUUCAAGUCCACUAGUGGGGCUGAUAACAUGACUAAAGAUCCCUAAAGAAGGAAUCUAGUUCCAGCUUAGUGUAAAAGAAGACAGUCCCCACUGAUCUUGCUGGUAUUCUCAUGUGAGGACUGACUUUGCCCUGUGGCAAAGAACAUGAAUGACGAUCCUACUCACUGCAUACUAUUCUGCAGUUCUCUGCAGUGACAUUUGACUCUGUUAACAUUAUUUUCUUUUGCUUCUUACUGUUUUUCAAUAAACCGAUGUCUAG